rnacentral:rRNA from 1 species
AACGAACGCUGGCGGCGUGGCUAAGGCAUGCAAGUCGAACGGAAUUAUCUGAGUAGCAAUACAAAGGUAAUUUAGUGGCGGACGGGUGAGUAAUGCAUGGAUAACGUACCCUCGGCACAGGGAUAGCGUCGGGCCCGCAAGGGUCCUUUGCGAAAGUGACGGUAAGACCUGAUGAUAUCUCGAGACCUCAUGUUCUUGCGAUCAAAGGGCGGGCUUUACGGUCUGUCGGCCGAUGAGCGGUCCAUGUCCUAUCAGCUUGUUGGUGAGGUAACGGCUCACCAAGGCUUUGACGGGUAGCCGGCGUGAGAGCGCGACCGGCCACAUCGGAACUGAGACACUGUCCGGACACCUACGGGUGGCUGCAGCAACGAAUAUUCCGCAAUGGGCGCAAGCCUGACGGAGCGACGCCGCGUGAAGGAUGAAGUCCUGG